rnacentral:rRNA from 1 species
UACCAGCACCCCGAGUGGUCGGGACGAUUAUUGGGCCUAAAGCAUCCGUAGCCGGUCCUGCAAGUCUUCCGUUAAAUCCAGCUGCUCAACAGAUGGGCCGCGGAGGAUACUACAGAGCUAGGAGGCAGGAGAGGCAAGCGGUACUCAGUGGGUAGGGGUAAAAUCCGUUGAUCCAUUGAAGACCACCAGUGGCGAAGGCGGCUUGCCAGAAUGCGCUCGACGGUGAGGGGUGAAAGCUGGG